GCUGGGCAGGGUGGUGCAUGCCUGUAAUCCCAGCUACUGGGGAGGCCGAGGCAGGAGAAUCGCUUGAACCCAGGAGAUGGAGGUUCAGUGAGCCAAGAUCGUGCCACUGCACUCUAGCCUGGGUGACAGAGCAAGACUCUGUCUCAA
rnacentral:SRP_RNA from 1 species